rnacentral:rRNA from 1 species
UUCUGGAUCAUGCCACCCUGAACAUGCCUGAUCUCAGAAGCUAAGCAGGGUGGGGCCUGGUUAUUACUUGGAUGGGAGACCACCUUGGAAAACCUAAUGCUGUAGGCA